rnacentral:rRNA from 1 species
GACGAACGCUGGCGGCGUGCUUAACACAUGCAAGUCGAGCGGUAAGGCUACCGUUCGGGAGUACACCGAGCGGACGAACGGGUGAGGUAACACGUGAGCAAUCUGCCCUUCACAUCGGGAUAACUUCGGGAAACCGGAAGCUAAUACCGAAUACGACCACCGAUGGGCAUCUUCUGGGUGGUGGAAAAGGUUCCGGCCGGUGAAGGGAUGAGCUCGCGGCCUAUCAGCUUGUUGGUGGGGUAAGGCC